UUUUAUUUUUCAAUAUUUCUAAAUUAUCCUUUCAAAAGAAAGAUUAAUGAAAGGGUAUGUGUAUUCUAUUUUUCCCCUGAACCUGAACGACAUGAACGGAGCACAAAGAAAAGAGGAAGACAAAGUGAGACAGAAUGCCGAACAGAGCUUGGGAGAGAGAUGAUUUGUGUAAUGGGUAAUGCAAUUUUUAAAGUCUUUAAACUCAAGAGCGAGGGAAAAUGACUUAUUCUGGGAAGAUCAUCAGCUUGACUCUCUAAUCCCUAAAGAGGAAGAGACCCAUGUCUGUUUCAGCGAUUUGAGCUCGAAUGGUGCUUCAUUGAUGGCUCGGAAAGAAUCUGUGGACUGGAUUUUGACUGUUAAGGCGCACUAUAGGUUUUAUGCUGUGGCCGUUGUUCUUGCCAUGACCAUCUCCCGUAGAAGCGUUCUUCGUCUUCUUCUUCUUCUUCGAGCUUCGGCCUUUUCUGUAAUUCUUCCAACACAAAGAAGCAUUUCGGUGUUGACGAGUUAAGGAAGCUUUUGUUUGACAAGGAUGCAUACCAUCAAUUUCUACUUUCGCUCGAUCAAGUUAAAAUUCAAAAUAAUGGGAGAACUUGGAAAAUGAACCACGCAUUAUGGAGCUCAGAAAUCAGUGCAGAAUUAUUAGAACAACAGAGUUGGCUACUACAUAGGAGAAGCUACAUGAGCUUGAGAGACAAAAGGAAGAAAUGUUGAGGUUCGGUUCCCCUACUUCCCUUCUCCAAAGGCUUCAAGGUAUAGAAUAUGAUAAUUUAUAGUUGGAAAUCUACAUUGUGUAGUUUCUUUGUGCUCAAGCACAUGUUUUAUUCUAUUGUUUUGUACCUAGUGGCUAUGCUUAAACAUAAAAGAAUUAAUGUAGAGAAGCCAAAUUUGAUAAUAAGUUACUUUAUCUUAAUUACUUUUAACCUUUAUUUUACUAGUGUUUGUUUGCAAAUGCAAUGAACAAAACCGAUGAGGAAUAUGAAAAUCUGCACAAGCAGCUUCUUGAUAGGGAGAUCGAGCUCGGUCCUUUUGUGCAGAUAUACAAGAAGCUUCGCACCACUUAAGCGAGCACUCAUUCAUCUUGCAGCUAAAACAAAUUCACUUAGUUGAAUUGAUAUUAUAGAAAGAUAUAUACUUGGAACACACUGAAAUCUUACUUGCAGUUUCAAUGCAUUGGCUAGAUAAACAUGAUUGUCUGUGUAUUAUUUGGUUAAAUAUUUUCUCUUUGCUAGUAUAUCAGUUUUGACAGCACUUGUGCAUGUACGUUCAACAUUCAUCGUGGUAUAGUAUUGUAAAGUUACAAUUUUAUCAGUUUUUGCCAUAAUUACAUUUACAUUUAUGAUUUUUAA